rnacentral:rRNA from 1 species
CCUACGGGUGGCAGCAGUGAGGAAUCUUGGUCACUGGGCGCGAGCCUGACACCUCCCCUUCUCUUUCCUUCUUCCUUCCCUCCUUUUUUUCCCCUUCUUUUAUACCGCAAUAAAGUGAGGCACGUGUGCCUUUUUGUAUGUACUUUAUGAAUAAGGAUCGGCUAACUCCGUGCCAGCAGCCGCGGUAAUACGGAGGAUCCGAGCGUUAUCCGGAUUUAUUGGGUUUAAAGGGAGCGUAGAUGGGUUGUUAAGUCAGUUGUGAAAGUUUGCGGCUGAACCGUAAAAUUGCAAUUGAUACUGGCAGCCUUGAGUACAGUUGAGGUAGGCGGAAUUCGUGGUGUAGCGGUGAAAUGCUUAGAUAUCACGAAGAACUCCGAUUGCGAAGGCAGCCUACUAAACUGCCACUGACAUUGAUACUCGAAAGUGUGGGUAUCAAACAGGAUUAGAUACCCGAGUAGUC